GACGAACGCUGGCGGCGUGCCUAAUACAUGCAAGUCGAGCGAAUCUUUUGGGAGCUUGCUCCCUUAAGAUUAGCGGCGGACGGGUGAGUAACACGUGGGUAACCUGCCUGUAAGACUGGGAUAACUUCGGGAAACCGGAGCUAAUACCGGAUAGGUUCUUUUCUCGCAUGAGGGAAGAUGGAAAGAUGGUUCUGCUAUCACUUACAGAUGGACCCGCGGCGCAUUAGCUAGUUGGUGAGGUAACGGCUCACCACGGCGACGAUGCGUAGCCGACCUGAGAGGGUGAUCGGCCACACUGGGACUGAGACACGGCCCAGACUCCUACGGGAGGCAGCAGUAGGGAAUCUUCCGCAAUGGACGAAAGUCUGACGGAGCAACGUCGCGUGAGCGAAGAAGGCCUUCGGGUCGUAAAGCUCUGUUGUUAGGGAAGAACAAGUACGAGAGUAACUGCUCGUACCUUGACGGUACCUAACCAGAAAGCCACGGCUAACUACGUGCCAGCCGCCGCAGUAAGAC
rnacentral:rRNA from 1 species